AACAAUUCUCCAACAAAAACACAACAUCGACGAUAUCGACAUCUCCAAAACCAACCUCUUCCCUUUGUCACUUCGUGAAGCUCAAGACCACCACCAGAUCGCCACCUCCUCCGGCGAUCUACUCCGGUGAGAUCCUCCUCCAUCUCCGAUUAUCAUCUCCACCAAUCUCCUCCAAGAUUCCUCUCGUUCCCGUGAUGGAGAGAAGAUGGUAGGAAAUCGAAAUCAAUUUUGAUUCCGACCACAGCCUUCUCCGAUGGAUACCUCCGGUGAAAGCACACUUCAGCCUCCACCUGUUUCACGGCAGCUCCGAAUUUCGACGAAUCAAGAGACAUUCCUUCGUCACUGCCCAUGAAUUUGAAGCUUCUUCUCCAAUGAAUCUAAAGCUUCUUCUUCGUCUCCUCCGGUGAAUAGGACCACCGCCGUCACCGUUCAUCUCAGGUAGCAAGCUCCGACACUUCACCGGCAAGCUACAACUCUUCUCUGGCAAUGCUGAAGCUUCUUAUUAGUCUCCUCCGACGAGGUCACAGCUCAAUUGGUUCCGACAACAACCCGUAGUUGAAUCACCACAACCAACGACCAUAUUUGGGCUGCUUGAAGACAACAACUUCUGGUAACAUGUUCUUUGAGCCUUUUCUCUGAAAUUUUCCAAAAAUUCUCAUUCCUUGUUUCAACAAUGACUCCACCUGAAACUGAUAUCCUUGUUCAAACACGAUUUAAUCAAUUUUCAAGUGAUGGCUGCUGAGAAUCAUCUUUGCUUGACAAAUCACUUCAAUCUCAA